CGGAGGAGUACGAAGGUGCACUCGGUACGGUCGGAAAUCGUGCCAAGAGAAUAAAGGCAAAAGUGCGCUUGACUGCGAGAGUGACGGCUCGAGCAGGUACGAAAGGAGGUCUUAGUGAUCCGGUGGUCCCGAAUGGAAGGGUCAUCGCUCAACGGAUAAAAGGUACUCCGGGGAUAACCGGCUAAUUCCUCCCAAGAGUUCAUAUCGACGGAGGAGUUUGGCACCUCGAUGUCGGCUCAUCACAUCCUGGG
rnacentral:rRNA from 1 species